AGUGAACGCUGGCGGCGUGCUUAAUACAUGCAAGUCGAACGAUGAAGUCCUAGCUUGCUAGGAUGGAUUAGUGGCGCACGGGUGAGUAAUAUAUAGUUAAUCUGCCUUGCACUGAGGAACAACAGUUGGAAACGAUUGCUAAUACCUCAUACUCCAACUUUACAUAAGUUAAGUUGGGAAAGUCUUUUCGGUGCAAGAUGAGACUAUAUCGUAUCAGCUAGUUGGUAAGGUAAUGGCUUACCAAGGCUAUGACGCGUAACUGGUCUGAGAGGAUGAUCAGUCACAUUGGAACUGAGACACGGUCCAAACUCCUACGGGAGGCAGCAGUAAGGAAGAUUGUGCAAUGGGGGAAACCCUGACGCAGCAACGCCGCGUGGAGGAUGACACUUUUCGGAGCGUAAACUCCUUUUGUUAGGGAAGAAUAAUGACGGUACCUAACGAAUAAGCACCGGCUAACUCCGUG
rnacentral:rRNA from 1 species